UUUAACGGCCGCGGUAUCUUGACCGUGCAAAGGUAGCAUAAUCAUUAGUCUUUUAAUAGAAGGCUGGAAUGAAGGGUUUGACGAAGUACCAUCUGUCUCAAUUUAAUAUUAUUGAAUUUAACCUUUGAGUUAAAAGGCUCAAAUUUUUUUGUAGGACGAGAAGACCCUAUAGAGCUUUAAGGUUUAUUUGUAUUAACUGUUUUUAUUUUAUUUUUUAGGCUAUUAUUUGGGCUUUUUUGUUGGGGUGACAAGAGAUAUAUAAUUAACUUUUAUUAUUUAUUAUACAUUUAUUUAUGGUUUUUAGAUCCAUUAUUAUUGAUUAUUAGACUAAGUUACCUUAGGGAUAACAGCGUAAUCUUCCUUCAGAGUUCAAAUUUACAGGAAGGCUUGCGACCUCGAUGUUGGAUUAAGAUAAUAGUUAGGUGUAGUAGCUUGAUUUAUAGGUCUGUUCGACCUUUAAAAUCUUACAUGAUCUGA
rnacentral:rRNA from 1 species